AUGGCACUAACAAAGGUCGCCCUCUCCUUUGCCCUAAACCUUGUUCUCAUUGCCAUUGUGCAUGGUCACCCACCAGUUGUCCCUUCACCGCCUUUGGUGCCUACCCCAGUUGUUGCACCAACUCCACCGAAUGGUGCUUCCUGCCCAAUCAACCCACUGAAGAUAACUGUGUGCAGCAAUGUGUUGCUGCUACUCAAACUCCGGAUCAACGUGCCGGAGACUGAGCAAUGUUGCCCACUGCUUAGUGGGUUGGCUGAUCUUGAUGCCGCCAUCUGUGUCUGCACUGUCAUCAAGGCCAACCUCCUUGGACUCGUCACCGUUGACAUUCCCGUCGACCUUACCCUCCUACUAAACCAUUGUAACAAGACAUGUCCCUCUAGUUUCACCUGCUCUCGAUGA
rnacentral:rRNA from 1 species